rfam:Phlebia centrifuga strain FBCC195 PHLCENscaffold_3005, whole genome shotgun sequence.
GCCGCGUUGGCGUAGUGGUAGCGCGUCGCACUUGUAAUGCGAAGGUCAUUCGUUCAAUCCGGGUACGUGGCA